rnacentral:ncRNA from 1 species
UAAGACGAUCCAGGUUGGUGUUUUUUCCAGCAAAAAAACGGGUCAGGAAACUUGAAAAUUUGAGGACAGACCUCAUUUAAUCUCCAGUAGCAAUUUUGACCUGUAGGGGGAAAUUAUGCGUCUGGAUCGUCUUAC